AACUUCUCUGGAGAUCCCUGUGUGUCUGAGGCCUUUUGAAGCCUUCUGAAGACACUGAAAUGCUGCUAUCAGGUCUCCUCAGAGCUUUCACUUCUCCUUGGAUCAUUCCAGUGCUCCUCCUCUGGAAGUGUUCCAACGGGUCCAUGUCUCCUCUUGUACUGAGGACUCCACAUCAAGAUGUGUUAUUUUAGGUGAAUUAUCACCAGCCCAGAGUAGAGGAGCAGGAAUACCUCUCUUGACCUGAUGGCCACGCUUCUGUUGAAGCAGCCUGAUAGAUCAGUGUCUUUUCUGGCUGCAAGGGCACAUCACUGGAUCAUGUCUAGCUUGUCAUCCACCGGUACCCUUUUUGGCAGGAUUGUACCCUAUCCAUUCAUUUUCCAGCUUGUAUUGACUGUGGGGGUUGCUAUGACCCUUUUGCAAGACCUCCUACUUGGAUCUGUUGAACCUCAUGAGAUUCACCUGGACCUCAUCCUGGAUCAAGACUGUCUAGAUCUCUCUGCUUGGCAUCCCAUCCCUUAUGCAUGUUGACCACAGCUUGGUGUCAUCUGAAAAUUUGCUGAGGGCGCACUUGAUCCCACAAUCAAUGCCACUGAUGAAGGUGUUUAAGAAUAUUGGUCUCAGUACUGACCCCUGAGAGACACCUUUCAUUAUUGAUCUCCAUUUGGACACUGAAUGGUUGACCAUCACUCUCUGGAUAUGAUUUCACAACCAAUUCCUCAUUCGCUAAACUGUGCAUCCGUCAAAUCCGUAUCUUUCCAGUCUGGAGAGGAGGAUGUUGUGGAGGACUAUACCAAAAGCCUUACUGAAGUCCAGAUAGCUCACAUCAGUGAUUCCUCCUUUGUCCACUGAUGCAGAUGCGCCACCAUAGAAGGCCAUGAAGCUGGUAAGGCUGGAGUUGCCCAUGGUGAGGACUUGCAAGUUGUCUUGAAUCACCUCUCUCUCUUCAACUUGCCUUAAUAUAUCUUCCAGGAGGAAAUUCCAUAUAGUUCUACGAUCUUCCUGGGAAGAGAGGUGAUGGUGGCAGCUCAGUAAUUCCAUCCCAUCAGAGUCUGUUCCGAACUUCUGAAUACUGUGUUCAGUAUGGAAUCACAUCCUGUAGAUUUAUCUGUUUCCAAGAUGUAGAUAGAGAAGUUAAACAUCUCUCUUCUCUUGUAGUCAUGUCUUCAGCUAGAUGUUAUCUUUCAUUAAAAACACUGUUUUCUUUUUAGUCUUUUCAGAUAUUGCUGUGGCUAGAAUGAGAGACAGGCUUAAUAUAUAUUUUCUUUUCUUGUAGUUCUGACCUCUGAACAGGACUCUAUAAAACCUUAUUUAUCCAGAAUUUACUAAAAUAUAAAAGAACCCUGGAAAAAAAUUUCAUGUGGAAGAAAAAGCAUAGAAACAAAAAAAUCCUGAAGUGCAAAAUUUGUUUUAUGACUCUGUCUAAUGCUAUUUAAUCAUGUUCACAUAUUCUGGUAAGUUUGGGUAUCAGGUUUUGUUUUGUUUUUACCUGUGUAUCAGUAACCUCUGAAUCUGCUAUUUAAUAUUAGUCAUGUUGCUGAAGGGCCUUCCUGACAAGCAGUCAAAACACUUCCAAGCACCAUAACUGUGAAAAGUGGUAUUCUACCACUCUUGCACAGGAUGUCUGCAACUGUACUAUGCGCAACGCAAGGGAGAGUCAGAACCCAGGACCUCUUAUCAGCUAUAAAAGACAGCCAUGAUUAAAUGAAUAAAAGCAUGAUGUUAUCAGAACUUAAAAUUCUGACACAAUCCUGUUGGAAUUAGCAUGGAAAGUAUUUUUUUCUAGUGUUCCACAAGGAUGUACUUUGUGUGUUUCAUUGUCAAGUAAGAAUGAAAAGUCAGCUGAAGUACUACUGCUAUGAAACCUAUGCUCAAGGAGUAUUAAUCUCCUUGUGCUCUCCUAAUGAAAAUAAAUUAAAAAAAAAAACACAGCAUAUUAAAAUUUCCUUACUGUAAAAGCAAUGGGGAAUUCUGGGAAGAAAACCUCGGUGGAAGAAAGCCUUAUCUUUAAUCUCUUAAAACUUCCUCUUGCUAUUUUCAUACUACUUUUCUCCACUUAGAAUCCUAUCUGUGGCCAACUACUAGGUAACAAAGUGAAAACACUCUCCUUUCACGAUCUUUCAGUUUGCAUUUUAUCUGUCAAUUACAGCUAUGGUCUUUUCUGGCUCUCACAGUACCCUAAAGAAAUAUCAACAGGUGAAAUCUGAAUUUCCCAUGACACAAGACAUUUUGCAUAAUGAUCAGGGAGAGAGGAUUAAAUAUGUAGAGGAAACAGAUACACAGAAAGCAUUUAGUGGAUUAUUGGUUUAACUUUUCAAGCCAGCUUAGGAAUGUGAAAUUUAUGUUUUUCAGAGCUAAUGUAUCCAUACCAAUUUUGCUCACUACCAUUGUGUUAAAUAUUUCUUAUCAUAUUUUUGAUAUUAAGAAGUUAAUUAUAUGUAAGUUGGGCCACAUUACCAGAAAAUCUUAGUCUCAAUUCGUUGCU
ensembl:lncRNA